AUUGGGGUUUAUAUUUACGUGAUUAGUUGAUAUGGUUUAAUUUAUGAACGAUUGGGGUUGACAUUGGGGCAAGCAUUAUCACCUUCAAUGAAGGCAUAUCAAUGACAACAUUUGAGAAAUAUGUUAAGAUGAUCUUUAGAUUGCAACUACAUUUUCACAUUUUCUAUUCAAUAUGUUCAUGUACAAUGGAAAUGCAUGUUACUUGCAUUUCGAAAUUUGAGUUUAAUUUAUGAAAGAUUUCAGGUUGACAUUGGAAUAGGGUUAUAUUUGCAUGUAGGGUUUAGUGAUUAGUGGCUAGAGCUUAGUUUAUGAAAGAUUAGGGUUGACAUUGGAGUAGAGUUUAUAUAUUUGUGUAGUGUUUAGUGAUUAGUUGAUAAAGUUUAGUUUAUGUACGAUUGCGGUUGACAUUUGGGCAAACAUUACCACCUUCUAUGAAGGCAUAUCCAUAUCAACAUUUGAGAAAUAUGUUAAGAUGAUCCUUAGAUUGAAACUACAUUUUCACAUUUCCUAUUUUAUAUGUCUCAUGUAGAAUGGUAAUGCAUUUUACUGGCAUUUCAAAAUUUGGGUUUAAUUAAUAAAAAAUUAGGGUUGACAUUGGAUUAAGGUUAAUAUUUCUGUGUAGAGUUUAGUGAUUAGUUGAUAAGGUUUAGUUUAUACUUCGUGUUGGGUUAUUUCGUCGUAAUUUAACUUUUUAGAUUUUGAUAUUUAGGUUUAAGGUUUAUAUUUGGGUUAGUGUUUAAUGAUUAGAGUUUAGGGUUUAAUAUUUAGAAGAUGAGGGGGUAUGGUUGGAGUAAGCAUUAACUUCUUCAAUGCAAUCAUAGACAUUUCAUAAUUUCACCAAUAUGUACUAUGCUAUUUAUUUUGUUCCAUUCUAUUUGGAUUUAGAUUUUAUAUUCGAGUUUAUGGUUUAUAUGCGGAUUUAAGGUUUAGUAUUUAGGGGUUUGGGUGGAUUGGGAUAAGGUUUAGUAUUUAGAUUUUAGAGGUUGAGAUUGUGUUGGUGUAGGGAUGGCAAUCAAGGACCUGGACCCUAAGUCCCCAUUUUAAAGACCCGCAACCCUAAGUCCCCAUUUCUUCUUUCACCUAAAACAUUGAGAGAGAGAAGGCGAUUCGACGUUAUGUAGC
rnacentral:lncRNA from 1 species